GCUACGGCAUUGAAGUGAUCUAUGCCAUGCUUCCAAGAAAAUCUCGUCAUAUCUUAAACAAUAGGUGCCUGUACCUUAAACCGACACAGGUAGGUAGGUAGAGUAUACCAAGGGGCGCGAGAUAACUCUCUCUAAGGAACUCGGCAAAAUAACCUCGUAACUUCGGAAGAAGAGGUACCCUUGAAAAAGGGUUGCAAUAACCAGACCCUGGCGACUGUUUACCAAAAACACAGGUCUCCGCUAAUUCGUAAGAUCAAGUAUGGAGGCUGACGCCUGCCCAGUGCCGGAAGGUUAAAGAAGUUGGUCAAUCUUUGGAUGAAGCUGGCGACUGAAGCCCCGGUGAACGGCGGCCGUAACGAUAACGGUCCUAAGGUAGCGAAGUUCCUUGUCGGGUAAGUUCCGACCCGCACGAAAGGCGUAACGAUCAGGGUGCUGUCUCGGAGAGAGACUCAGCGAAAUAGACAUGUCUGUGAAGAUGCGGACUACCUGCACCUGGACAGAAAGACCCUAUGAAGCUUUACUGUAUCUUGGAAUUGGGUUUGGGCCUUGCUUGCGCAGGAUAGGUGGGAGGCUAUGAAAAUAUUCUUGCGGGAAUGUUGGAGCCAACGGUGAGAUACCACUCUAGUAAGGCUAAAAUUCUAACUCUGAACCGUUAUCCGGUCAGAGAACAGUUUCAGGUGGGCAGUUUGACUGGGGCGGUCGCCUCCUAAAAGGUAACGGAGGCGCGCAAAGGUUCCCUCAGGCUGGUUGGACAUCAGUCGUAGAGUGUAAAGGCAUAAGGGAGCUUGACUGCGAGACCCACAAGUCGAGCAGAGACGAAAGUCGGCCUUAGUGAUCCGACGGUUCCACGUGGAAGGGCCGUCGCUCAACGGAUAAAAGUUACUCUAAGGAUAACAGGCUGAUCUCCCCCAAGAGUUCACAUCGACGGGGACGUUUGGCACCUCGAUGUCGGCUCAUCGCAUCCUGGGGCGGUAGUACGUCCCAAGGGUUGGGCUGUUCGCCCAUGAAAGCGGUACGCGAGCUGGGUUCGGAACGUCGUGAGACGGUUCGGUCCAUAUCCGGUGCAGGCGUUAGAGCAUUGAAAAGAGUCCCCCUUAGUACGAGAGGACCGGGGGGAAUACACCGCUGGUGUACCAGUUAUCGUGCCAACGGUAAACGCUGGGUAGCCAUGUGUAGCGUGGAUAACUGCUGAAAGCAUCUAAGUAGGAAGCCCACCUUAAGAUGAGUGCUCUCACCGCUAUAAGCGGGUAAGGUCACGGUAAGAACAACCGUUAUAUAGGCAUUAAGUAUACGUGCAGUAAUGCAUUUAGCUAAGAUGUACUAACAGACCGAGGGCUUGAU
rnacentral:rRNA from 1 species